rnacentral:lncRNA from 1 species
CAGAUCUCCAAGUCCCAGUGGGAGCCAAAUCAUCUUUGAAGUAUCCUCUCACACGGACACGUCUGCGAGGCUCCACUCAGCGCCUGCGGACGGCUCCGGCACUGCUGCGGGGGUGGGGCGCAGAUCUAAGCGCCUCCAGUGAGCGGGGCCCGACCCGCACCUCGCCGGCACCCGCAGCGCCGCCGAGAGGAGCCCCCGGGCCCGCCGCGCCCAGCGGAGGGUCGGGACGCGGGGACACGACGGGGCGGGAGCGCGCACUUUCUGCAGGCGGCCCCCGCUCGGCACAGCCCCGCAGUUCCUCGGCCCGCGAGUUUCUACCGAGCAGCCCCAGGGCACGGAGCGGAGGGGGCCG